CCUGGCGCCACCCUUCGGGGCCUGCAAGGACCCAGUUGGGGGGGCAAGAGGGGGCUGGGGGAUGGUUGGUGGUGGGCUUUCUACUUUGCCUUUUUCUCCUCAUGCCGCCUUAGUGAGGGGCAGGAGCUUUGGCGGCAGCUCCGGGGUAGGGAGACAAGCCCCGGAGUCGGAAGAGCUGGGUUUGCUUCCGGGCCUAGCCACCAGCUGGCCGAGUGACCUUAGGCAAGUCACUCUAAUUUUCUGCGCCUCAGUUUCCUCCUAUGCCUGUCCAUGUUUGUGGGAUUGAAAGCGCUUUGUAAACUAUAAAGCAUCCGUGUUCGUAAGGGAUGAUUAUUGUUUGUAAUGGUUGUUGUUAGUUACGAGAAAACUUAGCAAUUGCCCAGUCCUUGGAUUUUGAACCUGGGAACCUUGGAUUGGAGUUGGGAUCCCCAAACUCCCCGAAAUUGUAUGCAGAAAUUAGUGGGAAUGUGUGUUUUAGGGGAAUAAGGAUCCAUCGCUUCUGUGACCCAGAAGAGUUAAGAACCACAAUUCCUUUAUGCUACAGGGAGGAAACUGAGGCCUAGAUGUCAUUUGGGACCCUUCACAACCAAUUUGAAGCCCCUGUUUGAAUCCCUGGGAUAUGUGAGCUGUUUCUAUGCAUAAUGGAUAUUCGGGGUAAUGACACUCCGCUGUUUGGCUUCUAUUCUGAGUCUUGUCUUUUCACCAUGGGGUGCCUGAAGGGUGGCUGAUACAUGUGGUACAAUGGCACCCAAUAUAAAGCAGCUAAAACCAGGAGUGGAUGUGUUUUCGGGUAUCAAGAAGCCUAUUUAAUCUGGCCCGACAACUCUGUGUUUUCUGCUGCUUUUACUGGUGCCUGACUACCUUUCUGACUUUCAUUGACCAUUUUCCACGAGUAUAGUUGCUAUCCGUUACUUGCUCCUAUUUUCUAUCCCUAAUCUGUGGUUGGUAGUGAGCAGGCUUAUUUUUAAAUGGUGCUGCCCAGUCCACGUAAUUAAUGGUGCAGGUGGAUUUUUAGCAGGCUGGCUCCCUGGAACAGACUGAACCAGGCGUGGAAUUACUGAAGAUGUUUGGGGGUUUUUCUUUAUUAAGUGAAAGUUAACAUUCUCUGAAAAGUUUUGUUAGAACCUCUGAACCUCAAAAUCAGUAGAUUUGGGAAUAUUUCAAAGCUUAACUUUUUCCUGGCCUGCUUUCUCUUCUAUUUGCUUGCAAGUGUGUUACUAAGAUGGCCAAAAUGCCAGUUUUUGCUUCUUUGUUAAUUAUCAGCUGCUUUUAUCAAAUUCCAGGCCAUUAUCCAGCAAACACUAUAGAAAUGUUUGAACAGUUGGAUUUCAAACAUUUUCGUGUUGUGGAGUGGUGCUUACCAGUGGUACAGCUCUAAGCAAGUGAACACAAACACAUUUCAGUGUAUUUUGUCUGGUUAGGUGUUACCAGUUCUGCUGUUUCAUACAGAUGUCUGAAAAAAUCGAUUGACUAUUCCCUUUGUCUAAAGGGCAGAGACAGAUGAUCUCACUUCCAGAGAAAUGACUGUUUUGGAGAAAAAUGUGUUGUUCUUUUAGUUCUUUUGUAAUUCUGGAGGUACCUCAAAAGAAUCUUAAAGACUGUGGUGAUAAGAUGCUUUCCUCAGGAGAGAGAGAGGAGGAAAAAAACAACUGGAACUUAAGCUUGAAAUUCUGUGACAGAACGUGAGAUGUCCAGGAUAGGAGGUUGAAAGGAUUUCACUACAGUGUUCUGCACUAGCUGGAGCAGAUGUCUUUCAGUGUAGCCACGGCGUGGAUUCUGGAUUUUCAAGAACUGGACCUGAGACCUGGAAGAGCUUAUCAGGAUGUGGCAGGAACUCUGGAACUGGAUAGUUUUAUUUUUGAAUUUUGAGACUGUUGACCUUGCUUUGAGAAGAGAUGACUGAGCAAGCACUGCCACCAGCGCUGUUUCUGGGAAUUCGAACACCUGAGUUGCUGCCAGACCCUUGGUGCAAACUCUGGCAGCACUCCAUCCAAAGUGAGCUACGUCCUGUGCCUCCUGAUUGCUGAGUGUUCACCUGGAUCUUCUGACCACCUUCCUUGUGCUCUUCCGUCAGCCUACAGAUGUGGUACCUGGAUUUUUGCCCAUGGUGAUUGCUACCACCUUACUACUGAAGAAGACAUCAUUCCAGUGGACACUGUGACCCAAGAGGCAUUCAGCCAUCAUGAUGUGGCCUUUACCUCCACUCCUGUCCUGUUCUACCCAGAUUCAGCACAGCCCUUUAUAGUAAAGUCAAACUCUUCAAGCCAAAUAGCUGAAGUUGUUUUAUCACGACAAAGGCCCAGUUUGUUCCAUGAGUGUGCAUUUCGUUUCUUCGGUUCGAGCCUUCAGAGACACAUGAUAAAUUUGGACCAGGGGACUUUUAGUUAUCAACACUGUCUGAAGCAUGGCAACAUCUUUUUGAGAACAACAUUGGACCACACCCCAUAAUCUCAAAUGAUUGAAGUUCAUGAAGUGUCUAGGAUCCCAUUGAGAUCACUGGACUCUGUCCCUUUUGCUUCAAAUCUGUAGUAGCCUACUGAAUGAGAAAGCAGAUAUUAUGACCCAUUGGGAUUAAAACGGGCACAAUGAACUCCUCAUAGCAUCUUCUUUGGGAUUACUCAGGAACCAGAACUUUUCACACAAAUGUAAGAAAUUCUACCAAGGAAUCCCUUUGCCUAACAGCAUCUCACACAGCUCCAAUCAGAUGCCAGAAAAGGCCUCUUGAUACAUCCAGCAUUUUGUGAACACCUUAUUCUUAGAUCAUUGGUUUUCCAAAGGCUUUGUGGCCGUGAAGCCCUUUGAAUGAAAACUGUGUGGAAGCCCAGAGUAAGAGUGAAGCUGCUCUGGAUGAAGCAGGAGUAGGGGGCCUGAAACCUGCCACAAGCAUCUUCUUUUACCACCAUGGUGACACCUAAGGAGACUUCUUUACAACAGCUAGAAUUCUGCAGAACACAGUUUGAAAACCACUGCCCUAGACAGCAAUAUGUUCGACCUGAAUGACAUUUUCAUCUAUACCUCUGCCGAAACAGUCCAAGUUCAGUUGUUGCCGAACAUUCUAAGGGAUACUAACUAUGAGCCAACUCAGAAAAGGCCAAGAAGAUGGGCGUGUCUUUGCCCCCCAGAGUCAUAUGGGCUGAAAGUGGUAUCAGAUGGACCUAGAUUAACAGCCCUCUGCCCUAGAUGGACUUCCACUCAUUCCUGGAAUUGGAUAGAACCAGAGAACAAUUCAUAUGUACUCUACACUGACAAACCCCUUUACCCAACUUCUUUCACACACACCAGAUGUUCUAGUGGUACUUGAAAUACAUGACUUGGAAGUCUUGAUCCUCCUUAGAUACCUGAAUUGCCAGGUAUUGAAGCUGAUAUUGAAGUUGAUGCCUCAUUGAGGCCAUAUUAGACCAACUUGUACGUUGAACCUCCCGUCAUCGGCCAUGAAAAAGAUAUUCAUCUACACUGCCAGUCAUUCCCUUUAAUCCUGUCAAAAUGAGGGGCUUAAGAAUGAGGAUGAUCGUCUGUUCUAGAGUCUAAUGAACACUGUAUAAGAGUUGAUGGUUGAAAAACCAAAACGCCUGAAACUCAAACCUAGUAUCUUGCCUACUAUCUCCAUGCCUCAGAUCUCAUCAGUCAACCAAUCUGAGGCCUUGACUUAUAUAUAAGGUGAUUCUCACAGAUAGGCUGAGUUACAGAGGAUGGAGACUUGAUUACCAAAGAAAGUAGGGCCAAUCUUGAUAAACCUGGCUCUCCCAACCUUAUCAAUCCCAGAUGUAGCAUAGGUUCCUAAACAGAACCUCAAGUCUGAAUUGAGGAUAAAGCCGUCUCCUGAGCUGAAAGCUCUGGGGAAAUGAACAGGAAAAUGAAAGCUGCUGUGCCUGACUGGCCCUUUAAGAUCAGAAAAAUGUAUCCAGAGUAAAGCCUGUGGAUUAACCCUGGAGUACUCAGGAUAAGAACUGAUUUACAGAGCUUCAAUAGUCAUCAUCCUGUUCUUCCAGAUCACGUCUGGCUAAUAGUAUGGCUGGCCCUGCUGAUGGUACCCUACUUGCCUGGUUACCUGAUUCAGCCCUUGCCUGCCUUUUUGGACAUGUUGCUGCAAACAGACUGACUGUGCUUGAGAAGACUACCAGUGAUCUUGGCCUAACUUAUACCCAGGCCCACCAAGGAAUUUUGAACAGAAGCAACCUGCACCUCAGCCUACCAGGACUUAAUGUUCACAACAGGAAGGACCAUUCUGUGUAAUCCUUGACCAACAGCUUUUUCUUGUUGUUAAGUGCAGAGUAAGCCUCUACACCUGUAUUUGAUUGUUUUCAGCACCUGGGACCCCUUUGAUCAGAUCUGCAGGAGUACAGCAGAUUGAAAUCAUUGUCCAUUCCUCUCUCGUGCACUAAUACAGAGAUGAGUCUGAUUCAUCAGCACUCACAGAAAUGUACCAGUUCAACUUGGCAAAAGACUUAACACAAGAAAACUCUUCCACUGAACUUAAAAUUUACCACUGACUUGAAUAGCCUCACAGAACUGUUCACUGGUGGGAGGCUAGUUAUCCUGCUUUAUGUCAGCAAGACAGUUGGGCCUUCAGACUCAUGACCACUGAGUUUACUUAUAUUGAAACUCUGUUGUAUCAUCCAGAGUAUGCUAUUGAACAUGAUUGUUUCAUUCAAAUGGAUUACAAACUUCCUGUGAACAGGACAAACUUACUCCUCAUGAUGUUCUUCCAGAGUAUUAUCGAGGAAGUAACAAUGUUAGCAUCAACUUUAUGACCAGAGAUUAAACUUUUGCGUUAUCUGGUCUUAUCAUUGGCAGGAGUUGUUUUUGAUUGACCAGCAUCCAUUCCAUCUCUUUGUAACAACUCCCUGAUGUUUCUUGGAACCAUAUUUACCUGUUUUCAGUCCACAUGGUUCAGACCUGAUCCAUCAGCAUAGUCCAUCUCCUUGACUGUAGUGAUUGGUUCAGGAAUGUUCAUGUGAUUCAAGUUGGUCUAGUGAUACUGAAGCCCAGGAAUUUUACUGAACUGUGGAGGAGGAGAAGCUCAGAAGCUCUCUUUAUUGAAGUCGCUUAGCUUUGUAAGAUGAAAAACUCAAACCACCAGGGCCCACCAUAUCAAAUGAGCCAGUCAGAAAGUGCCAGUGCAGAAGAAAGCAGAGCCAAAUGAUGGAGAGACUUGAGUCCUGAUAACAAAGUUUGUGCCCCUGGAUCCAACCGUGCCUGAAGCUAGUAUAUCCCCUGGACUUUUCAGUUAUGUGAACCAAUAAAUACCCUGUUUUGCUUAAGUUACUUUGAGUUGGGUUUCUCUUGCUUGAAAUUGAGUCCUACCUGAUACAGUAUCUACCAAUAUCGAAACUUGACAGAUCCAAGUAUUUAUUAAAUUAGAGCUUAUGGCCAUACUGAAAUUAUCUUCCAAAUCGGAACGCAAAAUGAGACAGGAACUGACAAUAUUCAAGUUACUACAGAAGUAUGAAAAUUACAUGGUAGAAAAAUGUAGAAGAAAACUUAAAAGUUUAUCAAAAGGAUUGGUUAAAUAACACAUGGUUCAGCCAUAAAAGAAAAUCUAGGUGUCUGUUAAAAUGGAUGAAGUAAAUUUAUUGUGUGUAGACAUGGAAAAAUGGCCAUAAUAUAUUAAGUGAAACAAACUAUUGACAGGAAAAUGUAUGAACUCAUUUAAAAAUGUGCAUAUUUAUGUUUAUAAUGCAUAGAAAAGUCUAUUAAUGGCUUUCUUUGAACAGUGU
ensembl:lncRNA